rnacentral:rRNA from 1 species
UACGGAGGGUGCAAGCGUUAUCCGGAUUCACUGGGUUUAAAGGGAGCGUAGGUGGCUUUGUAAGUCAGUGGUGAAAUCUUAGAGCUUAACUCUAAAAACUGCCAUUGAUACUGCUUAGCUUGAAUCACGUCGAGGUGGAUGGAAUAUUACAUGUAGCGGUGAAAAUGCUUAGAUAUGUAAUAGAACACCGAUUGCGAAGGCAGUUCACUAGGCGUGUAUUGACACUGAGGCUCGAAAGCGUGGGGAUCGAAACAGG